GAUGAACGCUGGCGGCGUGCCUAAUACAUGCAAGUCGAGCGAACGGACGAGAAGCUUGCGUCUCUGAUGUUAGCGGCGGACGGGUGAGUAACACGUGUAUAACCUACCUAUAAGACUGGGAUAACUUCGGGAAACCGGAGCUAAUACCGGAUAAUAUUUUGAACCGCAUGGUUCAAAAGUGAAAGACGGUCUUGCUGUCACUUAUAGAUGGAUCCGCGCUGCAUUAGCUAGUUGGUAAGGUAACGGCUUACCAAGGCAACGAUGCAUAGCCGACCUGAGAGGGUGAUCGGCCACCCUGGAACUGGGCCACGGUCCAGGCUACUACGGGAGGCAGCAGUCGGGAAUCUUCCGCAAUGGGCGAAAGCAUGACGGAGCAACGCCGCGUGAGUGAUGAAGGUCUUCGGAUCGUAAAACUCUGUUAUUAGGGAAGAACAUAUGUGUACGUAACUGUGCACAUCUUGACGGUACCUAAUCAGAAAGCCCCGGCUAACUACGUG
rnacentral:rRNA from 1 species